rnacentral:rRNA from 1 species
UACGAAGGGAGCUAGCGUUGUUCGGAAUCACUGGGCGUAAGCGCACGUAGGCGGAUGUGUCAGUCAGGGGUGAAAUCCCGGAGCUCAACUUCGGAACUGCCUCUGAUACAGCACGUCUUGAGUCCGGAAGAGGUGGGUGGAAUUCCUAGUGUAGAGGUGAAAUUCGUAGAUAUUAGGAAGAACACCGGUGGCGAAGGCGGCCCACUGGUCCGGUACUGACGCUGAGGUGCGAAGCGUGGGAGCAAACAGGAUUGAGAAACCCUU